rnacentral:rRNA from 1 species
AACGAACGCUGGCGGCAGGCUUAACACAUGCAAGUCGAACGCUCCGCAAGGAGAGUGGCAGACGGGUGAGUAACACGUGGGAACGUACCCUUUACUACGGAACAACUCCGGGAAACUGGAGCUAAUACCGUAUGUGCCCUUUGGGGGAAAGAUUUAUCGGUAAAGGAUCGGCCCGCGUUGGAUUAGCGAGUUGGUGGGGUAAAGGCCUACCAAGGCGACGAUCCAUAGCUGGUCUGAGAGGAUGAUCAGCCACAUUGGGACUGAGACACGGCCCAAACUCCUACGGGGGGCAGCAGUGGGGAAUAUUGGACAAUGGGCGCAAGCCUGAUCCAGCCAUGCCGCGUGUGUGAUGAAGGCCUUAGGGUUGUAAAGCACUUUCACCGGAGAAGAUAAUGACGGUAUCCGGAGAAGAAGCCCCGGCUAACUUCGUGCCAGCCGCCGCAGUAA